GGGAGUACGCACGCAAGUGUGAACUCAAAGAAUGACGGGGCCCGCACAACGGUGAGUAUGUGGUUAAUUCGAUGCAACGCGAAGAACCUUACCAGGGCUUGACAUCCCGCGAACCCCUGAGAAAUCGGGGGGUGCCUUCGGGAACGCGGAGACAGGUGGUGCAUGGCUGUCGUCAGCUCGUGUCGUGAGAUGUUGGGUUAAGUCCCGCAACGAGCGCAACCCACGUUUUUAGUUGCCAGCAUUCAGUUGGGCACUCUAGAAAGACCGCCGGUGAUAAACCGGAGGAAGGUGUGGAUGACGUCAAGUCAUCAUGCCCCUUACGUCCUGGGCUACACACGUACUACAAUGCUACGGACAAAGGGCAGCAAACUCGCGAGAGCUAGCAAAUCCCAUAAACCGUGGCUCAGUUCAGAUCGUAGGCUGCAACUCGCCUACGUGAAGGAGGAAUCGCUAGUAAUCGCAGGUCAGCAUACUGCGGUGAAUACGUUCCCGGGCCUUGUACACACCGCCCGUCACACCAUGGAAGUUGGCCACGCCCGAAGUCGUUACUCCAACCCUUGUGGAGGAGGAUGCCGAAGGUGGGGCUGAUGACUGGGGUGGAGUCGUAACAAGGUAACCGUA
rnacentral:rRNA from 1 species